rnacentral:rRNA from 2 species
UUAAGUGACUAAGCGUACACGGUGGAUGCCUAGGCAGUCAGAGGCGAUGAAGGGCGUGCUAAUCUGCGAAAAGCGUCGGUAAGGUGAUAUGAACCGUUACAACCGGCGAUACCCGAAUGGGGAAACCCAGUGUGUUUCGACACACUAUCAUGUCAUGAAUACAUAGUGGCAUGAGGCGAACCGGGGGAACUGAAACAUCUAAGUACCCCGAGGAAAAGAAAUCAACCGAGAUUCCCCCAGUAGCGGCGAGCGAACGGGGAGGAGCCCAGAACCUGAAUCGGCUUGUGUGUUAGUGGAAGCGUCUGGAAAGUCGCGCAGCAAAGGGUGAUAGCCCCGUACACUAAAAUGCACAGGUCGUGAGUUCGAUGAGUAGGGCGGGACACGUGACAUCCUGUCUGAAUAUGGGGGGACCAUCCUCCAAGGCUAAAUACUCCUGACUGACCGAUAGUGAACCAGUACCGUGAGGGAAAGGCGAAAAGAACCCCGGCGAGGGGAGUGAAAUAGAACCUGAAACCGUGUACGUACAAGCAGUGGGAGCACCUUCGUGGUGUGACUGCGUACCUUUUGUAUAAUGGGUCAGCGACUUAUAUUUUGUAGCAAGGUUAACCGUAUAGGGGAGCCGUAGGGAAACCGAGUCUUAACUGGGCGAAUAGUUGCAAGGUAUAGACCCGAAACCCGGUGAUCUAGCCAUGGGCAGGUUGAAGGUUGGGUAACACUAACUGGAGGACCGAACCGACUAAUGUUGAAAAAUUAGCGGAUGACUUGUGGCUGGGGGUGAAAGGCCAAUCAAACCGGGAGAUAGCUGGUUCUCCCCGAAAGCUAUUUAGGUAGCGCCUCGUGAACUCAUCUUCGGGGGUAGAGCACUGUUUCGGCUAGGGGGCCAUCCCGGCUUACCAAACCGAUGCAAACUCCGAAUACCGAAGAAUGUUAUCACGGGAGACACACGGCGGGUGCUAACGUCCGUCGUGAAGAGGGAAACAACCCAGACCGCCAGCUAAGGUCCCAAAGUCAUGGUUAAGUGGGAAACGAUGUGGGAAGGCAUAGACAGCCAGGAUGUUGGCUUAGAAGCAGCCAUCAUUUAAAGAAAGCGUAAUAGCUCACUGGUCGAGUCGGCCUGCGCGGAAGAUGUAACGGGGCUAAACCAUGCACCGAAGCUGCGGCAGCGACGCUUAGGCGUUGUUGGGUAGGGGAGCGUUCUGUAAGCCGUUGAAGGUGGCCUGUGAGGGUUGCUGGAGGUAUCAGAAGUGCGAAUGCUGACAUAAGUAACGAUAAAGCGGGUGAAAAGCCCGCUCGCCGGAAGACCAAGGGUUCCUGUCCAACGUUAAUCGGGGCAGGGUGAGUCGACCCCUAAGGCGAGGCUGAAAAGCGUAGUCGAUGGGAAACAGGUUAAUAUUCCUGUACUUGGUGUUACUGCGAAGGGGGGACGGAGAAGGCUAGGCUAGCCGGGCGACGGUUGUCCCGGUUUAAGCGUGUAGGGGGUGUGACCUGGUAAAUCCGGUUGCAUAUCAACCCUGAGGCGUGAUGACGAUGCACUACGGUGCAGAAGUAGUUGAUGCCCUGCUUCCAGGAAAAGCCUCUAAGCUCCAGGUAACAUUGAAUCGUACCCCAAACCGACACAGGUGGUCAGGUAGAGAAUACCAAGGCGCUUGAGAGAACUCGGGUGAAGGAACUAGGCAAAAUGGUGCCGUAACUUCGGGAGAAGGCACGCUGGCAUGUAGGUGAAGUCCCUUGCGGAUGGAGCUGAAGCCAGUCGAAGAUACCAGCUGGCUGCAACUGUUUAAUAAAAACACAGCACUGUGCAAACACGAAAGUGGACGUAUACGGUGUGACGCCUGCCCGGUGCUGGAAGGUUAAUUGAUGGGGUCAGCCGCAAGGCGAAGCUCUUGAUCGAAGCCCCAGUAAACGGCGGCCGUAACUAUAACGGUCCUAAGGUAGCGAAAUUCCUUGUCGGGUAAGUUCCGACCUGCACGAAUGGCGUAAUGAUGGCCAGGCUGUCUCCACCCGAGACUCAGUGAAAUUGAACUCGCUGUGAAGAUGCAGUGUACCCGCGGCAAGACGGAAAGACCCCGUGAACCUUUACUAUAGCUUGACACUGAACAUUGAGCCUUGAUGUGUAGGAUAGGUGGGAGGCUUUGAAGCGUGGACGCCAGUCUGCGUGGAGCCAUCCUUGAAAUACCACCCUUUAAUGUUUGAUGUUCUAACUCGGCCCCAUAAUCUGGGGUGAGGACAGUGUCUGGUGGGUAGUUUGACUGGGGCGGUCUCCUCCCAAAGAGUAACGGAGGAGCACGAAGGUUAGCUAAUCACGGUCGGACAUCGUGAGGUUAGUGCAAAGGCAUAAGCUAGCUUGACUGCGAGAGUGACGGCUCGAGCAGGUACGAAAGUAGGUCUUAGUGAUCCGGUGGUUCUGAAUGGAAGGGCCAUCGCUCAACGGAUAAAAGGUACUCCGGGGAUAACAGGCUGAUACCGCCCAAGAGUUCAUAUCGACGGCGGUGUUUGGCACCUCGAUGUCGGCUCAUCACAUCCUGGGGCUGAAGUAGGUCCCAAGGGUAUGGCUGUUCGCCAUUUAAAGUGGUACGCGAGCUGGGUUUAGAACGUCGUGAGACAGUUCGGUCCCUAUCUGCCGUGGGCGUUGGAAGAUUGAGAGGGGUUGCUCCUAGUACGAGAGGACCGGAGUGAACGCACCACUGGUGUUCGGGUUGUCAUGCCAAUGGCAUUGCCCGGUAGCUAAGUGCGGAAAAGAUAAGCGCUGAAAGCAUCUAAGCGCGAAACUUGCCUCAAGAUGAGUCUUCCCUGGGCCUUUAAGGUCCCUGAAGGAACGUUUAAGACUAAGACGUUGAUAGGCUGGGUGUGUAAGUGCAGCGAUGCAUUGAGCUAACCAGUACUAAUGAUCCGUGAGGCUUAACCUU